GAUGAACGCUGGCGGCGUGCCUAAUACAUGCAAGUCGAGCGAACGGACGAGAAGCUUGCUUCUCUGAUCUUAGCGGCGGACGGGUGAGUAACACGUGGAUAACCUACCUAUAAGACUGGGAUAACUUCGGGAAACCGGAGCUAAUACCGGAUAAUAUUUUGAACCGCAUGGUUCAAAAGUGAAAGACGGUCUUGCUGUCACUUAUAGAUGGAUCCGCGCUGCAUUAGCUAGUUGGUAAGGUAACGGCUUACCAAGGCAACGAUGCAUAGCCGACCUGAGAGGGUGAUCGGCCACACUGGAACUGAGACACGGUCCAGACUCCUACGGGAGGCAGCAGUAGGGAAUCUUCCGCAAUGGGCGAAAGCCUGACGGAGCAACGCCGCGUGAGUGAUGAAGGUCUUCGGAUCGUAAAACUCUGUUAUUAGGGAAGAACAUAUGUGUAAGUAACUGUGCACAUCUUGACGGUACCUAAUCAGAAAGCCACGGCUAACUACGUG
rnacentral:rRNA from 1 species